GGAGGAAUGGCUGAGUGGCUGAAGGCAUUGGUUUGCUAAAUCAACAUACACGUAUUUGUGUAUCAUGGGUUCGAAUCCCAUUUCCUCCG
rnacentral:tRNA from 1 species